CAAUACCUUAAUUUUUUUUGGUGUCAUUUUUCCAGGGUACCUACUUUCUCCAGUUGGAGUUGGUAUGACUUAGCUAAGGUACUUCUAGGGAAAAAAUACUUAUAGUACUACAUUACUGAAAAGUUCAGAGGAAUUAUAACUGGAGAUCUGCCAAAUUCUGCUUCCAGAAUUUACAACCAAUGUGGGUAACAAAGUUACUGGCUAAGAAAUCUGAAAAUUAUGUUUCCAAAACAUCUGGAGAACAGCAGGCUAUGCCUUGGAAUGGGCCACAGGACAGCAGAAGCAAAGGAUAGAGAGAAGCACCUGCUUGUUAAAUCUACUGCUCCCCCCCCCAAGCAUAGCUUUCUCAGUCUUAUUUUAAGCUUUAAGGCGGAACAUAAAGCUGAAAGGAAAUCAUGAGAUUCACCCUCUAAGAGGCCCUCUCUUUUUGAGUCUCAUCUAUCUGAAAGCCUAUAGGCUCCUAAAGUACAUGGACAAAAACCUGUCAAGCCUUGCCUGUCUAAGGAUUCAUCAGAGUUCGGAGUUUCUGCUUGCCAUAUAAUAAGAAGCUGUAUGUAAUACUGUGCUGGAAAAAGUGCUAAAUAAGACCAGACACUAAUUGGAAAAUGAAAGGAGCUGCCUGAAGAAUGUAUAUAGAAAACUUUCUUUAAGAAACUUGGAACAAAAUCUGAUUUGACGCUUAGACAAUAAAUGAGUCUGCACUAUUAUGCAUUUGCAAAAUGAAACUAAAGUACAGAUUUUAUGAAGGAUAUAGUCAACAUGACAGCUCUUAAAUGAGAUAAACAUUGAGGAUAAUGGAACUGUUUAUUGGAUUAGAUCUUAUUAGUAAAAAGGAAAGCAAGCAAAACAGAAACAUUAAGGUCUUCAUUAUUUGCUGUAUUCAUUCAUUCCUAAGAACAAAUAUUUCAAAAGGACUAAUUGCUGCUGCAACUAAUAUUGUUUGCUUUUAAAAGGAAGCAUGGAAUAGAACCGCUUCAUGAGUUGUUUUUUAAUAGUUUGAAAAAUAACACCAAAACAUUAAUGUAGACUGAAGGAGAGAAUUCUUGGCUGAAGAAAGGGAAGUUUAAUGUUCAAAGCAUAAGACUUAUUACAAUAUCUUUACCUUUUUUAAACAGACUUUAAAUAUGUGUGCUAUUUAUUCAUAAACAAUGUGGUUAAAAAAUAUUCCUAUACAUCUGAACUAGCACUUUUUUA